GACUUCCAAAAUUGGCAUCGGGACAGAGCAGGGCUGGCGGGAGGCAGGCAAAAGACGGAAUUUUCCUGAAAAAACGGGGGUAUCUGAGGACCCCAAAUUUGGGGAGCUAGUCCAGGACCGUCCUCCCAACAUCCUAGAUUUUUUUGGGAUUUUUUGGGGACCCCGGGACCCCUCUAGAUGGGGUGAGGAAUGUAGUGUUGGGUGAAUCUGACUGGGGCAUUGCAGCUGCCUCUCCCGCCGAGUUGGAGACGGAUGGGCUGGGACGGGUUUUGGGGGGGUGUCCCCAAUUCUGACUGGGAGUGGAGGAACCCCUCCUGAGAUCUCUUGUGGGGGUGCCCCCUCCCCAGGGCACUCCCCAGUCCCUGAGCCAGCCGAGAGGAAGGAGGCCAGCGAUGCGACUGGGGCGGCUCCUUUCUCCUGCACCCCAAAUGUGAGGGAUGCACCCUAAAUUUUGCUCUUUUCAAAAUAGGGGACCAGGAUCUCAGGGGAGAGUAGCUGAGGCCUUGCUCGGAGUCCCAGGAGAUCCACAGGUCCGGCAUGAACAGUGAGAGGUCAGAGGUGGAAGGCUCAGCAGGAGAGGAGAGGAGGAUCAGCAGAGGUCAUGAGAAGGCCAGAAUCCAGGGUCAGGCUGUCUGGAACAGGAAGUAAAAUGGGCCGAGAUGGAGCGAGCCCCCAGUGUGCUUCCAAGGCCACUCCCACCUCCCUGAAACACCCUGCUACGUACUGAUCCAAUGCCCUGCGCUGUGUAUGAGAGCACCUUCUCUUCUGAAACCCCUAUACAAGGGAGGGGCCCCUGCGGAGACCGUGCCCUGCCAUCCAGGUGAGCCCUUUCUCCCCAACCCCGUCAGCUGUGUGGGAGGAGGAGGACUCCUACCCUGGUCGAAGUUGAGUUUCUUAGCUGGAGGAGUUUCUCCUAGCCCUUCAAUAUCCACCACGUCACUGUUGGCAUCGGAGUCGUUCAGAGCACUGAGUGUCACAUCUGGGAAGGGGGCAUAAGCUAGGUUCUAGGUUCCCCUGACAGCCUCUCCCCCAGCCCCAAGCUUCCCAAAGCUUUGUGCCUCCUCUCCCCUCCCCUCUGCCCCUCUCUGGGAACCUCCACAGGGACAGGAAGAGAGACUGACCCUUCUUUGACCCAGGCCCAAUUCUCUCACUAAACCUCAGAUGGGACCUUUAACCCCUAGGCAGCAACUCCACAGCCCUCACCAGCCUUCUGUUUCUUUAUGGGGGGACCCCCGGCCUCAGGGACACUGGAGCUGCUGGGAGGAGGGGCAGCUGGAGGAGGUGACAAGACACCAGAUGCCACCUUCUUGGGCCCUUUCUUGGGUGACUCAGCUGGAAGGGGGAUGCCAGAAUCUUCAUAUACCUUGCGUUUCACAGUGGCCUUUAUCUGGGCCCUGAAGAAAAGAGAGAAGAGGUUAGGAAAGGAGUCAUCAGAGAGACUAACAGAAGAGGGGACGGGAGGGGAAGGGGUUCUGGGAGUCCCUUCAUAAGAAUCCAGGUCGGGGCCCCAACCCAUUGGUAGGGUUCUCACUUUCUCGAAGUUUUACACUCACUCAGGAUGGAUGGAGUGUGGAGAGUGGAGUCCCUGAACUGAGUAGUGGGAAAGGCCCAUCUCCUAAUUCUCUUCUGGGAGAGACAUCAGGUAGAGCUUGGUGAUUUACAGGUGGAUUGAGAUUUACUGAUCAACUAGUUCAGGGUCACCAUAUCCCUGGAAACACUGCAGUGGGGUCCUCAAACAUUUAUAUAAAUAACCAGGGGACUUCCAUCAUCAAAUACAAUAACAGCAUCUCAGGCAACCUAAAUUCACAUUCUUGGAAGGAUUACCACAGCAUUUUAGGAACUUCUGACCAACUGUGACAAUUCUAUUCUUUCAGUCCUCAAGGGGAUUCUAAAAAACUAGUGACAAAGUAGGGAAGCAGCUGAGCUGGAAAGGAGUUCUGAGGACGAUGGAACCUUGGGUAAGGAGGAAGAAGGCUGCCCACCCGCCCUUUUCUGGCAGCCACCCUCCCUCACACUGUCCGUUCCUUGAUGACACAGCUGAUGUGAUUAAGAUCGUCCCCAAAUCGCUUCACAGCAGCCCUCAGCAUCUCUAUUUCCGUCUCCGUCCACUUCGCACUGUCAGAAGGGGAGAGGGGGGAUAGCAAAAAUGGGAGGGGGGGUGUGGAGCCCGCCCACAGGCUAUGCAUCCCACAGCCAACCAGCCGCCUCCUUCCGAUUUCUGGGACCCCUUCCACGGAUGCAUAAAGAGGUCCUCCGUAAGGGGAGGCGGAAAGCUCUUGAGGCCCUGCGGGAACCGGGAGGACCCCAAUCACAAGAAAUCACAACCACCUCCACCUUAGACACCCCUUUCCACCAUCAACGUUAAACGGCUGCUGUACACAGCACACUGAAACCAACUCGCCAGGAAGGGCUUUUCAAAACAGACCCACCAACACAGCCUGCAGCCGUCUGGGGGAAUUCCAUGAACUGGGGUGGUUGGGAGUGGCGGUGGUUUGUGGUCGACCCGUUCGCAGCAGGGAGAACUGUGAAACAGGAGUCUGGGCUAUGGGCCUGUCUGUAUUUUUAUCUGUCAUUCAUUCCCUCACCCAACGAUCAUUUAUUAACACCGACUCUGUGCUGUGCCACGCACAAAGGGAAACUAAUGUCUGUCCCUGUGCUAGAGAGGGUCCGUGUCUGUGACCGAGUCCAAGCGCCCGCUCUCAGCGUCCACGUCCCAGUCCGGGCUCACGUACCCCGCAGGAGAAGAGUCGGCCACGGGAUGCAGCUGCAUCGUCAGCUCCCCGAGCUUCGUGAAGGCGGCGCCGGCCGCCGAGAAG
rnacentral:lncRNA from 1 species